UACGAAGGGUGCGAGCGUUGUUCGGAUUUAUUGGGCGUAAAGCGCGCGUAGGCGGGCUCAUAAGCCAGAUGUGAAAUCUCGGGGCUCAACCCCGAAACUGCGUCUGGAACUGUGGGCCUAGAGUAUCGGAGAGGGAAGUGGAAUUUCGCAUGUAGGAGUAAAAUCCGUAGAGAUGCGAAGGAACACCAGAGGCGAAGGCGACUUCCUGGCCGAUUACUGACGCUGAGGCGCGAAAGCGUGGGGAGCAAACAGG
rnacentral:rRNA from 1 species